CCUACGGGCGGCAGCAGUGAGGAAUAUUGGUCAAUGGACGAGAGUCUGAACCAGCCAAGUAGCGUGAAGGAUGACUGCCCUAUGGGUUGUAAACUUCUUUUAUAUGGGAAUAAAACGUUCCACGUGUGGGAUUUUGUAUGUACCCUAUGAAUAAGGAUCGGCUAACUCCGUGCCAGCAGCCGCGGUAAUACGGAGGAUCCGAGCGUUAUCCGGAUUUAUUGGGUUUAAAGGGAGCGUAGGUGGAUUGUUAAGUCAGUUGUGAAAGUUUGCGGCUCAACCGUAAAAUUGCAGUUGAAACUGGCAGUCUUGAGUACAGUAGAGGUGGGCGGAAUUCGUGGUGUAGCGGUGAAAUGCUUAGAUAUCACGAAGAACUCCGAUUGCGAAGGCAGUUCACUGGACUGCAACUGACACUGAGGCUCGAAAGUGUGGGUAUCAAACAGGAUUAGAUACCCCUGUAGUC
rnacentral:rRNA from 1 species